rnacentral:rRNA from 1 species
AAUGGACGAAAGUCUGACGGAGCAACGCCGCGUGAGUGAUGAAGGCUUUCGGGUCGUAAAACUCUGUUGUUAGGGAAGAACAAGUGCUAGUUGAAUAAGCUGGCACCUUGACGGUACCUAACCAGAAAGCCACGGCUAACUACGUGCCAGCAGCCGCGGUAAUACGUAGGUGGCAAGCGUUAUCCGGAAUUAUUGGGCGUAAAGCGCGCGCAGGUGGUUUCUUAAGUCUGAUGUGAAAGCCCACGGCUCAACCGUGGAGGGUCAUUGGAAACUGGGAGACUUGAGUGCAGAAGAGGAAAGUGGAAUUCCAUGUGUAGCGGUGAAAUGCGUAGAGAUAUGGAGGAACACCAGUGGCGAAGGCGACUUUCUGGUCUGUAACUGACACUGAGGCGCGAAAGCGUGGGGAGCAAA